UGGAUCACUGAUAGACUGGAUCACUGAGAGGUACGUCUCUGUAAUAGACUGGAUCACUGAGAGGUACGUCUCUGUUAUAGACUGGAUCACUGAUAGACUGGAUCACUGAGAGGUACGUCUCUGUUAUAGACUGGAUCACUGAUAGACUGGAUCACUGAUAGACUGGUUCACUGAGAGGUACGUCUCUGUUAUAGACUGGAUCACUGAUAGACUGGAUCACUGAGAGGUACGUCUCUGUUAUAGACUGGAUCACUGAUAGACUGGUUCACUGAGAGGUACGUCUCUGUUAUAGACUGGAUCACUGAUAGACUGGAUCACUGAGAGGAACGUCUCUGGUAUAGACUGGAUCACUGAUAGACUGGAUCACUGAGAGGUACGUCUCUGGUAUAGACUGGGUCACUGAUAGACUGGAUCACUGAGAGGUACGUCUCUGUUAUAGACUGGAUCACUGAUAGACUGGUUCACUGAGAGGUACGUCUCUGGUAUAGACUGGAUCACUGAUAGACUGGAUCACUGAGAGGAAUGUCUCUGUAAUAAACUGGAUCACUGAUAGACUGGAUCACUGAUAGACUGGAUCACUGAUAGACUGGAUCACUGAGAGGAACGCUCUGUAAUAGACUGGAUCACUGAGAGGAACGUCUCUGUAAUAGACUGGAUCACUGAUAGACUGGAUCACUGAUAGACUGGAUCACUGAGAGGACCGUCUCUGAUAGACUGGGUCACUGAUAGACUGGAUCACUGAGAGGAACGUCUCUGUUAUAGACUGGAUCACUGAUAGACUGGAUCACUGAGAGGAACGUCUCUGUUAUAGACUGGAUCACUGAUAGACUGGAUCACUGAUAGACUGGAUCACUGAGAGGACCGUCUCUGAUAGACUGGAUCACUGAUAGAUUGGAUCACUGAGAGGAACGUCUCUGUUAUAGACUGGAUCACUGAUAGACUGGAUCACUGAGAGGAACGUCUCUGUAAUAGACUGGAUCACUGAUAGACUGGAUCACUGAUAGAUUGGAUCACUGAGAGGAACGUCUCUGUAAUAGACUGGAUCACUGAGAGGAAUGUCUCUGUAAUAAACUGGAUCACUGAUAGACUGGGUCACUGAUAGACUGGAUCACUGAUAGACUGGAUCACUGAGAGGAACGUCUCUGUUAUAGACUGGAUCACUGAGAGGAACGUCCCUG